rnacentral:rRNA from 1 species
GAUGAACGCUGGCGGCGUGCUUAACACAUGCAAGUCGAACGGAAAGGCGCGGUGCUUGCUCCACUCGCGUUGCCCGCGGGCGUGUGAGUCACAUGAGCAUACCCUAUCUAUGAGACUAAGAUCACUACCGGAUGCUGGAUCUCACACCGGACAUUAUAUUGAACCGGUGGGUUCGAAAGUUAUAGUUGGUUUUGCUGUGACUUAUAGGUCUAUCCGCGUCGCAUUAGCUAGUUGGUACGGUAACGCCUUACCGAGGCGACGAUGCGUAGCAGGCCUGAGAGGGUGAUCAGCCACACUGGAACUGAGACACGGACCAGACUCCUACGGGAGGCAGCAGUAGGGAAUGUUGCACAAUGGGGGAAAGCCUGACGAAGCAACGCCGCGUGAGGGAUGAAGGCCUUCGGAUCGUAAAACGCUUUUGUUAGGGAAGAAAAAAUGUGUAAUGAACUAGCGGCGUGGUGACGGUACCUGAAGAAGAAGCACCGGCUAACUACGUG